AUCGCUUCUCGGCCUUUUGGCUAAGAUCAAGUGUAGACUAUGAAGCUAAGGCUAGCUGGAUUCUAGUCUUGAUCCUGUAACUUGCUCCUUUUAUUAAACUAAUCAUUCAUAUAUAUAUAUAUAUACAUAUAUAUAUAUAUAUGAAUAUGCCUCCAUACCAACAUCUGUAAAAUGGUAUAUAAUACAG